GAUCAUGGCUCAGGAUGAACGCUAGCGGCGGGCUUAGCACAUGCAAGUCGAGGGGCAGCAUAAUGGAUAGCAAUAUCUAUGGUGGCGACCGGCGCACGGGUGCGUAACGCGUAUGCAACCUACCUUUAACAGGGGGAUAACACUGAGAAAUUGGUACUAAUACCCCAUAAUAUCAUAGAAGGCAUCUUUUAUGGUUGAAAAUUCCGAUGGUUAGAGAUGGGCAUGCGUUGUA
rnacentral:rRNA from 1 species